GAUGAACGCUAGCGGCAGGCUUAACACAUGCAAGUCGAGGGGCAGCACGUCUUCGGAUGGUGGCGACCGGCGCACGGGUGAGUAACGCGUAUGCAAUCUACCUUUUACAGGGGCAUAGCCCGGGGAAACCCGGAUUAAUAUCCUAUAGUACCAUUAUAUAGCAUUAUAUUAUGGUUAAAGUUUCGGCGGUAAAAGAUGAGCAUGCGUCCUAUUAGCUUGAUGGUAAGGUAACGGCUUACCAUGGCUAUGAUAGGUAGGGGUCCUGAGAGGGAGACCCCCCACACUGGUACUGAGACACGGACCAGACUCCUACGGGAGGCAGCAGUGAGGAAUAUUGGACAAUGGGCGCAAGCCUGAUCCAGUCAUGCCGCGUGCAGGAAGACGGCCCUAUGGGUUGUAAACUGCUUUUUANACGGGAAGAAACACCCCUUCGUGAAGGGACUUGACGGUACCGUAUGAAUAAGGAUCGGCUAACUCCGUGCCAGCAGCCGCGGUAAUACGGAGGAU
rnacentral:rRNA from 1 species